rnacentral:rRNA from 1 species
AGCGAACGCUGGCGGCAGGCUUAACACAUGCAAGUCGAGCGGGCCUUUCGGGGUCAGCGGCGGACGGGUGAGUAACGCGUGGGAACGUGCCCUCUGGUUCGGAAUAACUCAGGGAAACUUGAGCUAAUACCGGAUACGCCCUUUUGGGGAAAGGCUUGCUGCCGGAGGAUCGGCCCGCGUCUGAUUAGCUAGUUGGUGAGGUAACGGCUCACCAAGGCGACGAUCAGUAGCUGGUCUGAGAGGAUGAUCAGCCACACUGGGACUGAGACACGGCCCAGACUCCUACGGGAGGCAGCAGUGGGGAAUAUUGGACAAUGGGCGCAAGCCUGAUCCAGCCAUGCCGCGUGAGUGAUGAAGGCCUUAGGGUUGUAAAGCUCUUUUAUCCGGGACGAUAAUGACGGUACCGGAGGAAUAAGCCCCGGCUAACUUCG